GGUCUGAUAGUUUAAAGGUAAAACGUCCUUCUUAUAAUUGGAUAAUGUUGGUUCGAUUCCAACGAAGACCA